GAUGAACGCUGGCGGCGUGCCUAAUACAUGCAAGUCGAGCGAACAGAUGAGGAGCUUGCUCCUCUGACGUUAGCGGCGGACGGGUGAGUAACACGUGGAUAACCUACCUAUAAGACUGGGAUAACUUCGGGAAACCGGAGCUAAUACCGGAUAAUAUAUUGAACCGCAUGGUUCAAUAGUGAAAGACGGUUUUGCUGUCACUUAUAGAUGGAUCCGCGCCGCAUUAGCUAGUUGGUAAGGUAACGGCUUACCAAGGCAACGAUGCGUAGCCGACCUGAGAGGGUGAUCGGCCACACGGAACUGAGACACGGUCCAGACUCCUACGGGAGGCAGCAGUAGGGAAUCUUCCGCAAUGGGCGAAAGCCUGACGGAGCAACGCCGCGUGAGUGAUGAAGGUCUUCGGAUCGUAAAACUCUGUUAUUAGGGAAGAACAAAUGUGUAAGUAACUAUGCACGUCUUGACGGUACCUAAUCAGAAAGCCACGGCUAACUACGUG
rnacentral:rRNA from 1 species